rnacentral:rRNA from 1 species
UGGGGAAUUUUGGACAAUGGGCGAAAGCCUGAUCCAGCAAUGCCGCGUGUGUGAAGAAGGCCUUCGGGUUGUAAAGCACUUUUUGUCCGGAAAGAAAUCCUUGGCUCUAAUACAGUCGGGGGAUGACGGUACCGGAAGAAUAAGCACCGGCUAACUACGUGCCAGCAGCCGCGGUAAUACGUAGGGUGCAAGCGUUAAUCGGAAUUACUGGGCGUAAAGCGUGCGCAGGCGGUUUGCUAAGACCGAUGUGAAAUCCCCGGGCUCAACCUGGGAACUGCAUUGGUGACUGGCAGGCUAGAGUAUGGCAGAGGGGGGUAGAAUUCCACGUNUAGCAGUGAAAUGCGUAGAGAUGUGGAGGAAUACCGAU